rnacentral:lncRNA from 1 species
UUCAAAAGUCAGCAAAAACCCAUUAUCUUUUGUCAAAAAUUCUUAAGUAACACUAAUACAAAUCCUUUAUGUACCAGAGAAUCGUCAUCAUUGUAACAGAUGAUAUGAGAAACAAGAAGAGUUUGGAGAAGUUCGAUCAUUCAUCCGAACAACCUAUACGGGAGUUUGGAUACCGUAGCGGAUAUUUUUUGGUUGUGACUUAAUCGGGCGGAGCCAGGAUUUUAAGUUUACGGGGGGGCUUAAAAGUGGUAAAAAAAAAAUUUUAACAUAUUGGGGGGCUAAAGUGUAAAAAAAAAAAAUUUAUUAGUGUAAAAAUUUGUAAUUUUUUGAAAAUGAGGGGGGGGGCUGCAGCCCCUUCAAGUCUUGCCUGGUCCGCCCCUUGUCUCUAUGUGUAACGACAUUGACCCAAUUGAGUCUAUAAAUUAGACCCCGUUCUCUCAAUCUCAUCAAACAACAGUGGCGGAUCCAGGACAAUAUACAGGGGGAACCAUUAAGUUAACAAUAAUAAAAAAAAAAAAAAAAAAACAGUAUUGAAAAACAAGUUCAUUGAUAAGUAUUCUAAUAAUUCAUUGCUUAUACGUGCUUCAGUCAAAAGAAUUAACCAACACACAUAAUAUUAACUAGUCAAAUAAAAAAAAUCAAAUUAAUCAACUAAAUGUUAAUUUUGAAGAAUAAUUAGUAUGAAUGAAUCAACUCCAAGUGAUUAUAACAUCAGAUUCACUUUUAAAAACAAAAGAGAACAAAGAAACUCUUCUAUGUUUCACUAAAUUAUUGACGCCUUUUGUUUUUGACUCAGGAUUUAGGAGAAAAAAAUAAACUACAACUCAAAAUCUUUAUGUCAUGGCUCCAUGCCAUGCGCAAUUAUCGGAGAUAAUACUUGUGUAAGAACAGAAAAUCGUUGUUAUCACAAUUUAAAAGUUAUUAAUCACUUGCACAUUGCUUUAUGUUACAAUCAAACUUUCACCAAAUAGCAGACAUUUUCACAAAGAAGCCACCAAGAAUAAAAUAAAAAAACUAAGUAACUAAUUUGAUUUCAGAACCACAAAACCUGGUUUGUCUAUUUAUUGCCUAGUAACUUCGCAAUCUACUUAGAGAAACCCAAUCAUUAAGCAGUUUACACCAGUCCAAAAAUGUCUACAAAAACAAAAAACAAAACCUUACUUAAACACACAUAAAAAUACACACAAAAAUGAAAAUCCAUCUAGACCUUGAAUUUGUGAGGAUUUAAAUAGAAAAAAUAAAAUAUGAGAAAGAUGCAGUGAAAAUUUCUGUGAUUUUCAGCAUCUUUUCUUUCCUUCAUAAACCUCCACAAAUCUUGAUCACCCUUAGUAGUACAUGAGACAAGUGGGUUCGUACUUCGUAGGGAUCUAGCCAAACCAGCGUUCAAAAGGGCAUAGAAGAUGCGAAUCCUUCCACCCAUGAACAUGGGUUCUCAAUCAAAGCAGCAUGUACGCAGGACUAUUUAGGAUAGUAGAACUAACUUUGAUUUCGGAUUCGUGAAUUCAAAUCCUGGGAGGCUAUGAAAUAGGGAUUUGCUGAGAAAAAGUAUAGUAUUUGGGUUAAGAUUUAGAUGGGACUUGUUAGAAGACAGAAAGAGAGAGAGAGACGGAGGUAGGGAGGGACGGAAUGAUUGGGUUUUUAAAAGACAAAUACGCUAUAGGUCCCGCAAUUUAAUACGCUUUUUCUUUGACCCUCCCAAGUUUUAAUUAUUAUAUUAAGGCCCCAAUUUUUGAGGGGGGCAAAUUUUACAAAAAUUCUAAAAUUAUAGGUUAAAAAAAAAUUAUUUCAAACUUGAGGGGGGGCAGCUGCCCCUCCUAGGCACUGAGUACAUCCGCCCUGAUCAUACAUAUUGAUAUAUGGCAGUGGAAAGCAAAAAAGAACCCCAGACUGCAAGUUAUGUAUCUAAUCAAAGACCCAAAUCACAAAAACGUCCAAAUACCGAAUUGUGACUGAUGGAGAUGGAAAACAUCACUAUUAGGUUUCGAUUUGUACUCGCUGGUAAGUACGGUUUACAAAGGUGGCAACAGGUUGAAAUAGUGAUACCGGGGCAAUUUUGCAAGUUCUAUGUAGUGGCAUAUAGGAGAAUUAGGAGGAGAAAAGCAGAUUAUGGAUCUUUGAGGUUGGUGUGGUGAAAGGUGGUGAGGUGGUAGAGUCAAGCCAUACUGGUAAACACCAGAUGGGAGAAGGUGGGUGAAGUGUUAAAAAAAGGGGUUCUUUUGUUCUUUUGUUUAAAACUAUAGUUUAAAUUCAUAAAUUAGAAGAAGAAACAAAGACAGAAAAUAUAGAUAACUUUAAGGAUGCACAGAAAUUGAUUAGAGCUGAAGCCUUAAAUUAAAUUCAAUGUCCUUAAGUCGUUAACGACCCGCCACUCGGUACACGACGCACGGAAUAUAGACGUAUGACUUCCAGAUAUAAUUAAGUAACGAUCUUCGCGAAAUACUCCAAAUCAGAAGAUCACGUCGAACCUGUUCAAAGCCUCUACCUUGUCUCCGCAUAGUAACUGAAUAGAAAGAUGGAGUGCUCAUUUAGCACUCUCUAACCUUGUUUUGAAUCAAUUUUCGAAUGAAGAAAAGAAUUUGGUAUGGUGAAGGUAUUGCUAUGAGUAUAGCCAUGCACACCAUUUCUGAAAAGGUUACUCCCUUUGGAAAGGCCCCAUUCGACCCAAAUAGCAUUUCCAUUCGGCCAACAAAGCUGCGCACAGGUCCCUUUUCACACACAAAUUGAAAGGUUGCAUCUGUUCGGCGUAUUAAAGAAAACAAAAUUCUAAAAAAAAUACAUAAUUUCCACUUCGUUUAAAUUCGGAAAGGGUGUUGUGACCGUUCGUAAAAAGUAGUUAAAAACUCAGUGAGGAAUAAAAUAUAAUUUAGACAAUUAGAAAUUAAAAUACUUGAAUAAAUUUUCUCUAAAAAAUUAAUAUUCAAUUAAGUCCAAAAGCCCCAAGCCCCGGGGGGGGGGGGGGGGGGGGGGGGGGCCCCCGUAUGAACACGAAUCGGACCGGGCCGGGCGGCUGGGCGCAACCACACGUGGGUGAAAUCCAUAAAGCCCAUAGGCUAAUGGAUCAGGCCCACUUUAUAUAUAACUCAUCCUCUUUAAAAACUUGAGGUGCCCAAGGGUCCAAUUUAAAGGUCCAAACUUGGACUUUAUAUUCUUUUUAAUUUUAUUUUCUUUUUUCAACGUGGUACAACCUUAUCUAUCCACAUUUUUUCCUUUGCAUUAAAUCUUCUUUGGAAAUAAGUCUCAUCAAAUUACUUGGGUUUUUUUUUAAUAAAUGAUACACUAAAUUCUAUAUCAUUUAUGAGAAACUAAAUCUAUCAUUCUUUAUCUAAUUUAGUGUAUGAAACUUAAUAAAUUUAGUCCCAAAAAAUGUUCACAACGCACUAUCAAAAACUAAACGCUAACAAUCCCCCACAUGAAUGGACAUUGAUAGAUUGUUUGUAAUGAAAUGUAACCCUAAGAGAGAGAGAAAUGGGAGAAUACCGCAUCAGGAGAGUACCUUCGGCCAAGGAAUGCCUGAGGUCAUAUUUACUAUCGGAUUUACUCGAAAAACAGCCUAGAACAUGACGCCAUGAACGGUUCAAUUUUAAGUGCAAACAAGAACAACAAUAUGCACACGAUAACCAACUCCGAACACUUUUGGUUCUCAUGGUUGUGUUCAUUUUGGACCGUAACAACACCUAGUUUUCAUGAGUGCUCAGAGAAUUAGCCCAAAAUUCUCAUGGAACGGCCCCAAUUCACACUCAUAUAGGUGAACAUUUGUUAAAAGUACUCUGUAAUGCCCGCUUUAAAUAUUCAAGAUACAAAUGUCAUUAAAAGUAUGUUUACCUAAUUGUUCAUACAGACAGCACGUUGUUUUACUUUCAUAUGAAUAGUAGGUCAAAAAGGUUUUAUCCUUUUCUUACCACAUGUGCUUAUACCACUGAGUACACUAUUUUAGUUGUCCUUUUGAACAUAGAUUCUUGAGAUUUUCAGUCAAUUAGGUUGGGUUUCACUAUGGCACUCUUUGACUAGAGACUUAGUCCUAUUUCCCCUCAAAGAUUUAUAAAACGUUUCUCUCUAGGUAAACCUUUUGUAAGCGGAUCCGCAAUGUUAUCCUUAGAUUUUACAUAAUUAUAGAAAUAACUCCAUUAGAGAGAAGAUGUUAAUGGUAUUUUGUCUCGACGAAUAGUCUAAACUUACCAUUAUACAAAUUACUUGUACCCUUACAAUUGCUGAUUUGACUAUAACAAUGUAUACCAAAGCAAGGCAAAGUUUUGACCAAUUGGGGAAAUCUCUAAAAAUUAUCUAAUCCAUUCGGCCUAUCUCUUGGCUUGAUCUAGAGUAAAAACUUGCUUCCAUAGUAGAUCUGACAAUACAUGUUUGUUUAGAGGGUGUAAGAUACUGCAGCACCCCAAUAGUAAAGACAUUAACACUCGUGGAUUUAGAGUCUUUAGAGUUGAGAUUCAAUUUGCAUCCACAAUAUCCCUCUCUUUUUUUUAGGUACUGUAGGAUAUUCAGAAUAAAUAAUUUAUAAUUUUGUGUAUAUCUAAGAUAUCUUAAAACUUGAAUUAUUAAUUUCAAUGAUUAUCUCGCAGAAUUACUAGUAAAUCUACUCAAGUUAAUUACCGCAUCAAGCACAUUAAUUAGGUCUUGUACAAUUCAUUAAGUACAUUAGAUGCUAUAAUUCUUGAGUAAACAAUUGGGAUAUGCUUCUCCAGUAUUCUUUGUUAGAUGUAAAAUUUACAUAUAUCGGGAAGAUGUGCCUUUUCAUCCCACAUCCUUAUCAAACUUUUCUAAAAAUUUUUUUCACAAUAAGGGAUUGUGACAAGAAUAUCCCUUCAGGUAUUCUUUCAAUUUUAAUUCCUAGAAUUACAUCUGCAACAUCAAGAUCUUUCAUGUCAAAUUUUGACGUUAAUUUUUUUUUUAGUAAAUGUGAUUAAGGUAACUGUAUUAUUUCAAUAAUUAAAAUAUAAUAUACAUACUAAACAAACAAUAAUAUAUCAUUUUCAGUAUUUUGGACAAUU